UUUUAUUUUACAUACAAUGUAUCUUGAGUUAUAUAAGCUCUGAUAUUUCAUGAAAAUUAUCUGUUUAUCCAAUAUAAAUGUUUUUAUGUGCGUUCUGUAAUUGUUUAAGGCUCACUUAAGUAUCGAUCGAGAUUCUCAUUUGGCCUAACACGCUAAAUGAGGAUUGUGUACACAGGGUUAGUGGCUCGAUGGGUUGAUCACCAUCGUGCACUAACAGAUUUAGAACGUUAUAAGGGUGGGUGCUUGACAGGAGGUUAUCCGGAGCACGGUGCUUGACAGGAGGUUAUCCGGAGCACAGUUAAGGUUAUUGAUUCUGAC
rnacentral:lncRNA from 1 species